rnacentral:rRNA from 1 species
CGCAUCUGUGCAUGCAGCAUAUCAAUAAGCGGAGGAAAAGAGGGCUAUUACCUACGCUUAGGAUGUUGACACACGCGCGUGCUCGAUGAUAGUCUAUACAUGACUCCGUGCAUAUCAAUAAGCGGAGGAAAAGUACCUACGCUUAGGAUGUUGACACACGCGCGUGCUCGGCUCUAUACAUGACUCUGCGCAUAUCAAUAAGCGGAGGAAAAGAAACUAACAAGGAUUCCCUUAGUAACGGCGAGUGAAGCGGUAAGAGCUCAAAUUUGAAAUCUUCAAGGUUUUACCUUGACGAAUUGUAGUUUAAAGAAGUGUUUUUCUGUUGAAGUUUUGGUAAAAGUUCUUUGGAAUAGGACAUCAUAGAGGGUGAGAAUCCCGUAUUUGACCAUUAUUUUCAGCUGUGUGAUACACUUUCAAAGAGUCGGAUUGUUUGGGAAUGCAGUCCAAAAUGGGUGGUAAAUUUCAUCUAAAGCUAAAUAUUGGCGAGAGACCGAUAGCGAACAAGUACCGUGAGGGAAAGAUGGAAAAGAACUUUGAAAAGAGAGUUAAACAGUACGUGAAAUUGUCAAAAGGGAAGGCGUUUGACACCAGUGUUGUUUUCCUCGAAAAUCAAUUAAAAAGAGUUUAGAUUUUGUUGUGUAUUGACCUUAACAGCUUGCAUUUCAAUUUUCUUGCUUUUUUUAAUGCACUUUUCGUUUAACAAGUCAACAUCAGUUUCUUUUGUUGUAAAAAGGUCAUUGGAAGGUGGCUUUCUUUUCGGAGAAAGUGUUUAUAGCCUUUGACUCCUGCAAUCGGAGAGACUGAGGUCUGCAGCGUAGAUCCUUCGGGGUUAGAUACAUUUGUGCUAAGUUAUAGCUUUUUAUAGACAACUUGUUGACUAUGAUUAGUCUUGUAGCUUACUCGCUUAUGCUAUUUUACCUACGCUUAGGAUGUUGACACACGCGCGUGCUCG